GGGGGACAGACACUAUGUCUCCCUCCAAGAAAAGACACUUUCUUCACUUUCUGUUUCCCUUUAUCAAAGAGCUAUGGUGCAUCUGAAGAAUGAUGUCCAAAUUGCAAAGAUAUUGUCUAGCUACAGAAACUGCAUUUGCUGAAUUUUUUCCUCUAUAAACACAUCAGACCUUCUUCAGAGGAGAGGUGUAGACAGGACCAGAAUGGAACUAGUGUGGUACAAUCAGAGCAAAUCUGGGGAGCAGAUAAGAAAGGGGCAACUAUGGCAGAUUUUGUCAGCCUGUGCAGGAGGAAAUGCUGGCCACACAAUUCCAUGAAGAUAACCAGAACUGUAUGGAUCCAAGGCAGAGACAGGCCAUGGAAGAAGCAUGGGAACACUGAAUCUGUGACUGCGUAUCCACUGGACAGUCCCACUGAGAAGUAGAGGUAGCAGCUAUGGAGUCUACCAAUAUCCCGAAGUUGCAUUAACAUCUCUUGCUCACAUAAAGCUCCCGGAGUAUGUAACCUGUGCAGCCCAUGUGUUCUGGGCUUACUUAGAGUCCUUUUGCUUAAAGUCUGUAAUUGUUCUGCCCCGUGUGUUGAUUAUCAAAUCUAUUUGUGCCCUAAAGCUUCACAUUCAUUUGAAUAGAAACACGUGGAUGUCACAGAGUCAAGCAGAAGCUGACCUGGGAAUGAGGGAGAGACAGCCAUUAUCCAACCACCAAUAUCGGCAAUAGUAGCAAGGAGGACCGAGAAAAUGACUGGUGAAGCAAAAUACAGCUUGUAUUUAUUCUCUUCACAUUAAUUCCCACUGUAAAAGGAAGAACUAAGAGACCUCAGCUCACUAAAAGGCAGGAUGUGAGCUACAUAUAUUUUAAAAGCAAGUAAUUGAAAUAUCUGCAGCUACUGGCUUGAUGCAGGCAGACCAGAUAGCAGUUCUUUAGCUGAUCUCUGCCAAAUUCACUGAUGAAAACUAGUCUGUUUCACCUGUGUGUUUACAUGGGUAAGAUAGAUACUGAAAUUAUAAUAAUGGGUUUAGUAUUUAGAUGAAGAAAUACUUAUAAGAUGCUGCAUGCAUUCAUCCAAUGUAUAAUCUCUUUAUCACAUGCUAUAAGAUAAGGUAACAUUUACAUUUUUCCUUUGUAACUAUAAAAAAGUUUGCUUUUACUGUGAACUCAGGCAGGAGGGAUCAUCUCUUGCAUGUCAAGAAGGCUAUCAAAACUAGUUGGGGCCACUGUGGGACAUCUUAAUUCAAAGACUUUGUUCAUUGCCCAUUACACAUGUGACGACACUAUGUGCAAAAGGGCUUGUCUCAUCAGCUUGAAUUCAGGAAGAAAAAAAUUAAAAAUGGCUGACAAGAAAAUUUUUCAUCUUUUACUAUUUGGACACCCAUAGGGAGCUAUGAAACAGAAGCAGCAAAUCUCCAUGGUCAAUUUGGGUUAGUCCUAGAAGACAUUCAGAGCUGAAAGAUUAUACUAGAACUCUGUCACCAUUUGGAAGCAUAGAGUAACUCAUUUGUGUAUAUGUAUUUGCCUGCUUUAACCUUGUAAAUAACUCAUUUAUUUUCUUAGUAAAUAAACCCUUAAUUAGUUUACUAUAAAA